CUCUUGCUUGGGUCCAUAUCUGUUGAAAUCCAGUCGUCUAGUCUUAACUGACUGGUUUGCCGCUGCCUACCAAAGGUUACAAUAAUACUGUAACAUUUACUAAUACAUUCUGCGUUUAUUAAGCUAAAUGGGUCUGCUAGUCUACCUACCUGGUUGGCUUAUGGCGGGUCCUUGGUCUACUAUUGUACCUACGCUCUUGCCUGUACUUGGAGGCCAGGUAAUCCAUCUUCUGUGCCAGUUGAGGAAGUUGGACCAGGCCUUCUUCUAGAUCCUUUUUCAGCUUAGAUACCUCUGCCUUACUCAGGAUGGGUUCACAGGCGUAGUGAUUGCUUGCAUCAGGGCCUGUUGAGGUCAUAGAGGAAGAAAAUAUCCACUAGAUCUGCUUGGACUGGUGAAUUGGCGCUGGUCCCCUGGCACCUGUUCACGUUUGAUGGAUGGAUGGUUGUCUGUAGGUUGAGGGAGGAGCCUUCACUGUCUGAGGUACUAAGUCCAUCACUGUGCACUCUGCAAAAGGGCUUUCAUAGAGUUAGGAACUAAAACAUUGCUGUGGAAUUUAGAUUAAUUACAUUCAUAAUUAAAUUAAUGAAUUAAUCAAUUAGAACACCCCAUGGGUGACAUUUGUGGCGCCCUCUACGGGUUGUGACCAAAAUGCUGCGAUACAGAUAUCCCCAUAAUCAUGAGAUGAAUGGUCAAUGACUUAUGGGCAAUUAAUUACUCCAAUUAAAUCCAACCCGUGCCCCUGCAAAGACGUUUUUCUUAAAGAUGGAUAAAGAUAAAGAUGUUUUUCAACCAAUCUUACUCAAAUUUUACACACGUGUGCUUGCCAGUCGCCUAAAUGUGAGUACCAAAUUUCAUGCUGAUUUGGUUAAAGUUACAACGGAUGUUUUCUACAGUGUGUCGAGCUUUUCAAGUAAUUCUGACU